UUCUUCAUGAUAAUUGUUUAAAAUGGAAGGAACAACACAAAAGCAGCAUUCAUCCUACAUUUGUACUUUGUCCAAGCUGAUGAGCCUUGAACAUGGGCUCCUUGGAGUGUGCUCCUGGGUCCUGUUGACAAUGGGGUGCCUGCUGACGUCCUUGCUGUAGGAGGAGGAGCUGCCACACCAUCUCUGUAGCUGUCUGUCCACGGCAACCAUCCCCAGCAUGCCAUUCUCUACCUGCUUGGCCUCUUUCCCUGGACUGAACGAUGCGCAGGCUUGCUGAAGCCCGAACUUCAAAGAGCAAUGCAGUCUCCUGUAUACCUCACCAGUCCCUGGUAUUCAUCCAGCAGGAGCUUGGUGGUGCCCCCUCCAGAGGAUUUAAGAGGCAAUGCAGAAGACCCUUCAGAAUGCACCUCCAAAUCAAAAUUAGAAUCCAAAUAACAAAUUCCUGGGAAAAGAACGAACAGCUCAGAAUAAACCCAAGGACCAUCAACCACCACUUUUCCUCACACUUCAUAUAAGCAGUACCACAAUACCAAAACUCACCAGGCAAAUGGUACAAAAGCUCACAAGCAAUUAAACAGGAAUAAUAUAGGGAUUUCCCAACAAACAAUCUAAAAUGUCAUGGCGUGUCAAUCAAAUGUGAAUUUUCACUUAACAGCCUCUUUUCACACUCCACCAUGUAUACUGGAUUACAAUAACACCACUCUCUUUACACCACUCUCUUUAUAGGUUUGUAGCUAUAAGUUCUUUCCUAUGGUGUAACAAAACUCACAAAUAACAAACAGAUAAUACAGGGGAUUC